UACGUAGGGGGCGAGCGUUGUCCGAAGUUACUGGGCGUAAAGGGCGCGUAGGCGGCGCAACAAGUCACUUGUGAAAUCUCCGGGCUUAACCCGGAGCGGCCAAGUGAUACUGUCGUGCUAGAGUGCGGAAGGGGCUACUGGAAUUCUCGGUGUAGCGGUGAAAUGCGUAGAUAUCGAGAGGAACACCUGCGGCGAAGGCGGGUAGCUGGGCCGACACUGACGCUGAGGCGCGAAAGCCAGGGGAGCGAACGGG
rnacentral:rRNA from 1 species